CUAAUACAUGCAAGUCGAGCGAGCGGAACCAACAGAUUUACUUCGGUAAUGACGUUGGGAAAGCGAGCGGCGGAUGGGUGAGUAACACGUGGGGAACCUGCCCCUAAGUCUGGGAUACCAUUUGGAAACAGGUGCUAAUACCGGAUAAUAAAGCAGAUCGCAUGAUCAGCUUUUGAAAGGCGGCGUAAGCUGUCGCUAAGGGAUGGCCCCGCGGUGCAUUAGCUAGUUGGUAAGGUAACGGCUUACCAAGGCGACGAUGCAUAGCCGAGUUGAGAGACUGAUCGGCCACAUUGGGACUGAGACACGGCCCAAACUCCUACGGGAGGCAGCAGUAGGGAAUCUUCCACAAUGGACGCAAGUCUGAUGGAGCAACGCCGCGUGAGUGAAGAAGGUUUUCGGAUCGUAAAGCUCUGUUGUUGGUGAAGAAGGAUAGAGGUAGUAACUGGCCUUUAUUUGACGGUAAUCAACCAGAAAGUCACGGCUAACUACGUGCCAGCAGCCGCGGUAAUACGUAGGUGGCAAGCGUUGUCCGGAUUUAUUGGG
rnacentral:rRNA from 1 species